rnacentral:rRNA from 1 species
GACGAACGCUGGCGGCGUGCUUAACACAUGCAAGUCGAACGGAAAGGCCCUGCUUUUGUGGGGUGCUCGAGUGGCGAACGGGUGAGUAACACGUGAGUAACCUGCCCUUGACUUUGGGAUAACUUCAGGAAACUGGGGCUAAUACCGGAUAGGAGCUCCUGCUGCAUGGUGGGGGUUGGAAAGUUUCGGCGGUUGGGGAUGGACUCGCGGCUUAUCAGCUUGUUGGUGGGGUAGUGGCUUACCAAGGCUUUGACGGGUAGCCGGCCUGAGAGGGUGACCGGCCACAUGGGGACUGAGAUACGGCCCAGACUCCUACGGGGGGCAGCAGUGGGGAAUAUUGCACAAUGGGCGGAAGCCGGAUGCAGAAACGCCGGGUGGGGGAUGACGGCCUUCGGGUUGUAAACCGCUUUCGCCUGUGACGAAGCGUGAGUGGCGGUAAUGGGUAAAGAAGCACCGGCUAACUACGU